rnacentral:misc_RNA from 1 species
GAAAUGCGAUAAGUAGUGUGAAUUGCAGAAUUCAGUGAAUCAUCGAAUCUUUGAACGCACAUUGCGCCCCUUGGUAUUCCAUGGGGCAUGCCUGUUCGAGCGUCAUUUGUACCCUCAAGCUCUGCUUGGUGUUGGGUGUUUGUCCCGUCUCCGCGCGUGGACUCGCCCCAAAGUGAUUGGCAGCCUGCGUACUGGUCCCGGAGCGCAGCACAUGUCGCGCAAACGAGUGCCUUGGUACGGCGGCGUCCAUAAGCCCCUCUCUCACGCUCUUGACCUCGGAUCAGGUAGGGAUACCCGCUGAACUUAAGC